UCAUUUAUCAUUUCAUUCAUUCAUCAGUAAAUUACAUAACUAACAGUAGUUGUAAAUACUACUGUAUCCAAACUACAUCUUUAAGUAAAGCUAUAUCUUAAAAAUAACAAUCCUAGCCACACCAUAACAGCCAAGCUUAGACAGGUCCAUUCUGCACUUCAUGCUCCUUCUUUCUUCUUUCAUUUUCUGCAGCUUUGAAUUUAGCAAAUUAAUCCAUUCUUGUACU
rnacentral:lncRNA from 1 species